rnacentral:rRNA from 1 species
GAUGAACGCUGGCGGCGUGCUUAACACAUGCAAGUCGAACGGAACUAUUCUUGAUUGAGGCUUCGGCCGAUUGAAGGUUUAGUUUAGUGGCGGACGGGUGAGUAACGCGUGAGCAACCUGCCUUUCAGAGGGGGACAACAGCUGGAAACGGCUGCUAAUACCGCAUAUUGUGUAGAGAUCGCAUGGUUUUUACAUGAAAGAUUUAUCGCUGAAAGAUGGGCUCGCGUCUGAUUAGCUAGUUGGUGAGGUAAUGGCUCACCAAGGCAACGAUCAGUAGCCGGACUGAGAGGUUGAACGGCCACACUGGGACUGAGACACGGCCCAGACUCCUACGGGAGGCAGCAGUAGGGAAUUUUCGGCAAUGGGGGGAACCCUGACCGAGCAACGCCGCGUGAAGGAAGAAGGUAUUCGUAUCGUAAACUUCUGUCAUAGAGGAAGAACGACUAGGGUAGGGAAUGACCCUGGAGUGACGGUACUCUAAGAGGAAGCCACGGCUAACUACGUGCCAGCAGCCGCAGUAAUAC